rnacentral:rRNA from 1 species
UACGAAGGGUGCAAGCGUUAAUCGGAAUUACUGGGCGUAAAGCGCGCGUAGGUGGUUCAGUAAGUUGGAAGUGAAAUCCCCGGGCUCAACCCGGGAACUGCUUUCAAAACUGCUGAGCUAGAGUACGGUAGAGGGUGGUGGAAUUUCCUGUGUAGCGGUGAAAUGCGUAGAUAUAGGAAGGAACACCAGUGGCGAAGGCGACCACCUGGACUGAUACUGACACUGAGGUGCGAAAGCGUGGGGAGCAAACAGG